GUGAAUAUAUGUAUCUUUAACUUUAUUCCUUUAGGCUAGCUGCAUUUGGAUGGAAGCACAUCUUCUUGAAAUAGAGACUGAGGCUGAACAAAACUUGAUUCAAAACAAAGCCUCCGGGGAUAGAUGGUGGAUGGGAGGAACAGAUGAAGAGUCCGAGGGCACGUUCAUCUGGGUACAUUCUAACACAACAUUAAAUUACACAAACUGGCUGCAAGGUGAACCUAAUAACGAGGGUACAGGUGAAAAUUGCGUCGAAAUGCUUCCUGAAGGUGUUUGGAUUGACAGCCAUUGUGACUCUUCUUCUUUCUAUAUUUGUGAAAAAAAAAAGAUUAAAUAAUAAGAGUUUUUUUUUCAAUGAAUGUUAUGCAUGUACGUAUAUAACUAAGAAGCAUUAAAUAGCAUUUCUGAUUUAA